rnacentral:rRNA from 1 species
AGAGUUUGAUCCUGGCUCAGGACGAACGCUGGCGGCGUGCUUAACACAUGCAAGUCGAACGGAAAGGCCCUUCGGGGUACUCGAGUGGCGAACGGGUGAGUAACACGUGGGUGAUCUGCCCUGCACUUUGGGAUAAGCCUGGGAAACUGGGUCUAAUACCGAAUAUGACCAUGCACUUCCUGGUGUGUGGUGGAAAGCUUUUGCGGUGUGGGAUGGGCCCGCGGCCUAUCAGCUUGUUGGUGGGGUAAUGGCCUACCAAGGCGACGACGGGUAGCCGGCCUGAGAGGGUGACCGGCCACACUGGGACUGAGAUACGGCCCAGACUCCUACGGGAGGCAGCAGUGGGGAAUAUUGCACAAUGGGCGCAAGCCUGAUGCAGCGACGCCGCGUGAGGGAUGACGGCCUUCGGGUUGUAAACCUCUUUCAGCACAGACGAAGCGCAAGUGACGGUAUGUGCAGAAGAAGGACCGGCCAACUACGUGCCAGCAGCCGCGGUAAUACGUAGGGUCCGAGCGUUGUCCGGAAUUACUGGGCGUAAAGAGCUCGUAGGUGGUUUGUCGCGUUGUUCGUGAAAACUCACAGCUUAACUAUGGGCGUGCGGGCGAUACGGGCAGACUUGAGUACUGCAGGGGAGACUGGAAUUCCUGGUGUAGCGGUGGAAUGCGCAGAUAUCAGGAGGAACACCGGUGGCGAAGGCGGGUCUCUGGGCAGUAACUGACGCUGAGGAGCGAAAGCGUGGGGAGCGAACAGGAUUAGAUACCCUGGUAGUCC